GGGUUCAUUUUCAUUGUCUGAUGGGGUCGUCCCCUGUUGUUACAAGUCUAUGCCGAAAAGAGAAAGAUGUGCAAGUCUGAAAGGAAUCUUGAUUUAUAGCGAGAUCGUUCGCAAUACAUUUAUAAGUUUUUCAAAUCCCAGAGCUGUAGAAGGUCUGCUUCCUGUCAAGGUCCUCCGGAGAUGGAGUUAAUGAUCCCAAUUGGAGGCCG
rnacentral:lncRNA from 1 species